UGUGGGGGUCAGGAAUUUGAGAGGAGCUCUGACUCCGGUUCCCUCAUGUGGUUAUAGUCAAGGGCUGUGGGCACCUGAAGGCUUGACUGGGACCAGGAGGCCUACUUGUAAGGUGGCUGGUUCAUGUGCUGUGGCAGGAAGCCUCAGUUCUCCCCAUUUCCUCACAGCCUUCCUAUAGGGCAUGGCGUGCCAGCUGCCUCCCGAGAGCCAGAGGACAGUCACAGGCAGUCACGGUGCUUUUUCUGACCUAGUCUUUGGACUCACACUCUAUCACUUCUGUCUUAUUCUAUUUGUUAGGAACACAUCUCUAAGUCGCUCAAGGGAGGACUCCACCUUUUAGAGAAUUUGUGGACACAUUUUAAGCCAUCACAAAGGAUGAAAGACCGUCAGACAGGCACAAGGUGCUCAGGAGACCCAGGAGACAAUCCACAGACAAUCCUAAGAGCUGAAGGUGGAGGAGGAGACAGAGGGACCAUGUCCUCGUUGCCACCCCACCAAGAAGAGCCUUGGGGCAAGACUGUCACAUUCACACACACGCUCAUUAAGUCUGGGGAAUCCAGAGAAACGGGACGAGACGCCGACUCGACUCAUGCACUGUGAUGUUUGCUUCUGCACCAUCAUCUCCGUUCCUCCUUACGCUCCCUGUGGCUGGUGCCCAGCAGCCAUGAGAACCAGUCUGACACCACAGGCCAAUGAUUUUUCUCUCCAUCCCUCCAGGAGGAGGUGAGCAGGAAAGACAGCACUGUUCACAGAGGGGGAGGGGGAACUGGUCGGCUGGUGUUGGUGCUGGCCUGGGCAGCAACGCGAGCAGUGAGUGGGAAGUGGAGGGGCUGCGUGGACAGCCUGAGAACACUACCUCCCACGUUCAUGGGCUCCUCUUGCCCUGAGAGAGUGCAGCAUUUGGCUUUAAGGCAAUGUGAAUUCCUACCCAAGUAACUACAUCCACCCUCAAAUGCAAGGUCAGUAGAAUGGACUUUUGAAUUCUUCAGCAGUCCUUUCAACAAACCUUCACUGAGCCGUUUCUAUAGGCCAGGCCCUGGACUGGGUACAAACUUGAAACCAACCCAACCCCUGUCCCUGGGGAGCUUACCUGGAGGGCACUCAUUCGAUGACGCAUAGGAAGGGGCCUUCAGCAGCUCAUGGGAAAGAUGGGCAGACUUUCCAAGCAUGAGAAGGACAUUCUAGAUGAGAGAAUGAGGCCGUGGUGGGAAGACACUUGACGGGGAUCCAGGAGAUCUGGGUGGCAGUUCUGAUUGUGUCAUUCACUCAGAAGAUCCCCCUACCCCUCGCUGGACCCCGGUUUCCCAUCUGUCAACAAGGGAGGUUGACUUAGCAGCUUGGGCAUUAGAAAGUCUAUGGUGGCAGGUGCUGGGGGGAGGGGAGGGUUGGGGAGGGGGGCUUUUACACAGCUUGAUAGCAUUCAGUGGUUUCCCAAACAGCUUGCCUGGGCCAGAUGGGCAACUGCCCCUAGACCAGGCCAGGGGAGCCCCAUCUGGUAAGACUCAGUCUUGUUCUCUCUGUUAAUGCAUUGUUAAUCCUGAGUGCCAGCCUCUCAGACCGGGUCCAGGCGUGAAGGGAUGGUGUGCUUUAUGAUCAAGAACCCAAAAUACGUUGGCAAGGUCUAGGGUGCCCUCCAGGCAGACUUCCUCAUUUCCAGCGAGGUCACUCACACUGGUCGGAAAGCAAGAAGACACCAAUAGGCUGCUUCACCCUAUUCCAGCUGACCAGGCUCCCAGGAUGGGCUCUACGAUUCUGUGCCAAAGCCUACUUCUCAGCAAAGGGGGCAAUAAAGUUUAUGAUUAUGUUAAUCUGCA
rnacentral:lncRNA from 1 species